UGGAAUAAAGAGAAUGAUGAUAG
rnacentral:piRNA from 1 species